GGGGUUUGUGAGUGGGCUCCAGCCACACACGACUUCGUGCCUGUGACGUUGGCUCCUCCAUCCGCCUCUUUCCUGGAGUGCAGCCUGAGUCACAGCUCGAAACUUCUCCCACCUUCUCCGGGUGGAGGGGGCUUCCCCAGUCUUGGGGUGCGCACCUCAGGCAACGACCCAUCCCUCACUCCCCUGUGCUGGGACUGCAUGGGAAGGUAAGCAACUAAGUGCUGCAAACAGUGUAGGGGCUGUCAGAGCUGGAGCUUCCCUCCAACCCUCCCAGGGUUCUGAGGGUUCACAAGAGACAGCCCCACUGCUUCGCCCUUGAUCUUAGAGCCCAGAAUCUCCAUCACCCACUACUCUUUCCAACUUUUCUGUGUCCAGCCAUGCAGGACUUCCCAACCCAGUCUCCAAACAUCUGCUUUCUUGUUCCAAGCUUUUGUGGACACCAUUUCCUCUUGCUUUAUUCCUCUGGAAAUGGCUUUUGGGAAUGCUUCCUCCUCCAGCAGCCUCCUCCUUUUCUCUGUGCUCAGCCCUGCCCUGUGUCCCAGCCUCAUCUCCUGCCUUGCUGUAAACCUUGGGGCGGCCUCACUGUAUCUGCCUUGGAAGGGCUCUCCAGUAGAUUCUCUGGGCAGCAGACAGUUGGGUGUGACAGAUGCUGCUGCUAUUUGCCAAACCUGUUUUUCCUCUUCUUCCUGGCCACACAGCUGGACUACACUCCUCAGCCUCCCUUGAAGUUGCAGUGAACUUAUGAUGGUUUGUUCUAACCACCGUAAUAUCAACUGACGUUUAUCUACAAGGAUUUUUAUCAGGGUUGUUUGAAACCAGGGGUCAGCAAAAUUGUUUCGUGACCAGUCAAGUAGUAAGUAUGUUGCUUUCUGAGCAACAAAUAAUCUCUAUCUUUUUUCUCUCCUCUGCCUCCUCCUUGUUCUCCAUUCCCUCUUCCUUCUUGUUUCUUUUCUUUUGUUUACACACAAAUAUAAAAUAUAAAAACCAUUCUUGGCCGGGAGCAGUGGCUUAUGCCUGUAAUCCUAGCACUUUGGGAGGCUGAGGCGGGCAGAUCACCUGAGGUCAGGAGUUCGAGACCAGCCUGGCCAACAUGGUGAAACCCCAUCUCUACUAAAAAUACAAAAUUAUCCAGGUGUGGUGGCGGGCGCCUGUAGUCCCAGUUAUUCAGGAGGUUGAGGCAGGAGAAUUGCUUGAACCUGGGAGGUGGAGGUUGGAGUGAGCCAAGACUGUGGCACUGCACUCCAGCCUAGGUGAUAGAGUGAGACUCCGUCUCAAAACAAAAACAAACAAACAAAAAACAACAACAACAACAAAACAGUCC
rnacentral:lncRNA from 10 species